rnacentral:rRNA from 1 species
UACGGAGGGUGCAAGCGUUAUCCGGAUUUACUGGGUUUAAAGGGUGCGUAGGCGGACUUUUAAGUCAGGGGUGAAAGCCUGGGGCUCAACCCCGGGUCGGCCGUGCGAACUGUUUUGCUUGAGCACUGUAGAGGCAGGCGGAAUUCCGGGUGUAGCGGUGGAAUGCGUAGAGAUCCGGAAGAACACCGGUGGCGAAGGCGGCCUGCUGGGCAGUAGCUGACACUGAGGCGCGACAGCGUGGGGAGCAAACAGG